UUCUCUUUCCGGUUCUAGAGC
rnacentral:piRNA from 1 species